UUGUGUACUUUUGAAGAAUAUUUGGAAAAAGAGAGUAUUGAUCAUGGUGUAGAAUCUGAUGGUAAUGUGGUUGAAAAAGAUAAAAUGUUGCAUGAAAAGAUCUCGAAACUCAUUGACGAAAUAUGCAGCAGUGAGCUGAGUUGAUAAGGAGAAACAAGGAGAAGUGUGAAACAAUUGAGCGGCUUUUGUCCCAUGUGCAUAAGCUAACAGAUGAGAACAAAAUUUUGAGGAUUCAUCUGGGAAUCCAUAAGGAUACUACUGAUCAUACAAUUACAAUCCAUAAGAAUGCUACUGAUCAUACAAUUACAAGGCAAAACAAGCCUCAGUUUUCAAGGUCUAAGUCCAUGGGGCCAUCUUUCCUUGGAAGGCUCACUGGAUGCACUGGCACCUGAUCUUAAUUAGCAACUUUUCAACUUAAUUAGAAAUGGAACUGAAUGCUUCGUUAUUUUGAUCUUGCAUCUGAAGCCAAGUCUGGAUUAAGAGAAAGAUCUCAUGGCAGGAAUCAUGGACUUGAUGAAGCCCUGAAUUUUGCAAGGACUGUCUACCCUGUAUGAACACCAAAUGCUCCUGACGUUUCAAAUAAGGUGUUUUCAUUUUUUCUUCCUAGCUAUCAAUUUGGGUUUGCACAUGAUGCCAAAAAGAACUAGGAAUGGCAAAAGAAAUCAGAUGGUACAAGAUCAUACUUCUAGAAGUCCCCGCAGCGGAGUGUGGGCAUUUUUGCUAGUGUACUCAAAAAGGCUUACAAGGUAAGACCACCUUAUCCUUGGAAACAAAUUUCUUUUUUAAUUUAGAAUCUGGUUUUCAUGCAUUUUAUUUUCAUGUUGUUUUUGCUGGUGUGUUUAGUUGCUUCAUUAUGCUUGUUCCUACUUUUCCUUCUGAGGACGUCGAAAACCUGUUUGUUGUGGUUUAGGAAAAAACAAUUUCUGAUUAGAUACAUUCUCUAUAUGUCUUGAGGGUGCAAGUGUAGUUUUUUUUUCUUUCCUUUCCUCCAUUAUGAAGUUGCUCUCCUCAUAUUGUUCUGGUCAUUUCAUAUUAUCCCCUAUGCUACCACCAUACAUUAUGUGAAUGUUCCGUAUGAUUACAAGUUAUGCACUUCAUUCCUGACCAGUAAAACGGUCUGCCUUGGUUCAAUCAAUGUUUAGGCUCUUGACAUAAAACUAAAUGCAAUCUAUGUCAUUGGGUACGGAGGAUGUUCUUCCUGCAUAUAUUGGGAUUGAACAUGCAACUAUUAUUUCAUAGUUGGAAUCUGUCUCAUAUGACCCAUUGGUUCUGGACGAUUGAUGGCUGUAUGCACCUUGUCCAUGUCACCAAGCCGUACUCGCCAAGUUUUAACUCCCCAUUUCUUGUAGAUGACAGCUCUCAUUGAAGGAGAGUUCUCUCUACCCCAACUCCUUUUUUUUAUGACAAGGCUAUUAAUUGUUUUGUCCUUUUUGGGGGUUUUGUUCUUUCCAAAAUUAAAAGCUGAACAGACGGUACCUAAUUCAUGAAGGUUGAUACGUUUCUUAGUAUUUGACACUUUGUUGGUGUCUGGACGUUUACGGCCGUGUUUGAUCCCUGCCAGUGAAAAUAGUUGUUUUUUAUGAAACAGGGACUCUGGCAGUUGGGAAACCCGUAGUAGCCAAUGCUGUGCUCUUCUCCAAUUACUCAAUGGAGGAGUUCUGUGUUGUGUCUAUUGUUACAGAGGUAAAUGGUGAUUGGUGAGGCUCAUGCGGGAAAAUAAUGUCCAGGUUGGUCCUGAGGUUGACAAGUACAUUUCAGAACAUAAUAAUCUAGCUCGAAUGUGUGUGUUGGUUUCCAUUGAUGGAAAGAUUGCUGGGUCUUUUGCUGUAACUGAUCCAGUGAAGCUAGAGGCUGCACGAGUCAUCUCUUAUCUUCACUCGAUAAACAUUACAAGCAUCAUGGUUACUGGUGAUAACUGGGCUACAGCGGCAGCCAGAGUGAUGGAGGUUGGCAUUGAUAAGCUGUAUGCUGAGACGGAUCCACUAGGAAAAGCUGAUAGAAUCAAAGAAUUACAGUUACGAUUAUAUUAUAGUUACAGGGGUGGUGUGAGUGGAUUACAAUUACCCAGCUCCACAAGUAAUUUUGUUCGGGUUUUGAACGCAGAUUGAGGAUUACUAAAUUAUAUUUCAAAUGACUUAUCUAGGAUGAAAGGAAUGGCGGUGGCAAUGAUGGGAGAUGGAAUUAAUGACUCUCUGGCCAUUGUUGCAGGAGAUGUUGGCAUGGCAAUUGGUGCUGGCACCGACGUAUAGAAGCUGCUUAUAGUUCUGAUGAAGAGCAACUUGGAAGAUGUAGUUACAGCCAUUGAUCUCUCUAGAAAGACCAUGUCUCGAAUUCGAUUGAAUUAUAUCUGGGCGCGGGGCUACAAUAUCCUCAGCAUGCCGGUGGGGGCUGGAGUUUUGGCCCCUUUCACUGGAAUUCGAUUACCACCGUGGCUUGCAGGUGCAGGCCUGCUUCAUCUCUAAGCGUGGUAUGUCCUCUCUUGUUGCAGUCAUAUAAAAAAGCCUUUGCAUAUUCAGAGCUGUCUCCAAUGGCAAGUCUGCAUGAUAGUGAAUGUACGUAUCUGAACUAAUUUUCAAUCUCGGGUUGUUGCUUCCCUUCUUCGUUAUUGCUGCAAUGAAUUUUUACAUGCGAUCGUGAUUAAUAAUUUAGAAGCAUAAGACCGUAAUUCUUGGACCGUUUGCGUAUCA